rnacentral:misc_RNA from 1 species
UUCCGGACUUGGUAAACUUUCUAAAUCUGAAUCGUACACUUUUUCUAGUGAAUCCAUGUCAUUAACCCCAAUUAAAAAGAACAUAAAAUAUAAUUUAAGCUGUAGUUUUUGUCAAACAUAAAAACUCCUAUUGGAAAUACAAAUAUUGUCAAGAAUCUAAACAAAUUUGAACAGCAACAUCAUAAGUUCUUCAGACAAAUCUGAUUUUUUUUUAAAAAACUCUUGGGAAACAAUUUUUUUUGAAAUUUGAUAUAUCCUUGAAACAAUCAUGUAUAAAUUACAAUAUCAUAUUCCUCCUUUUUCACUUAUAUAUUUUCCAUCCAAAACUUUUUUUUUUUGGGGGGCCUCUUUUGUAAACUUAUCUGUGAGCAGUGACCAACGUCUCUAUAAACCUCAAUCCAUCAAAUCUGGGC